UACGAAGGGGGCUAGCGUUGCUCGGAAUCACUGGGCGUAAAGGGUGCGUAGGCGGGUCUUUAAGUCAGGGGUGAAAUCCUGGAGCUCAACUCCAGAACUGCCUUUGAUACUGAGGAUCUUGAGUUCGGGAGAGGUGAGUGGAACUGCGAGUGUAGAGGUGAAAUUCGUAGAUAUUCGCAAGAACACCAGUGGCGGAGGCGGCUCACUGGCUCGAUACUGACGCUGAGGUGCGAAAGCGUGGGGAGCAAACAGG
rnacentral:rRNA from 1 species